rnacentral:rRNA from 1 species
UCAGGAUGAACGCUGGCGGCGUGCUUAACACAUGCAAGUCGAACGGAGAUUACUUUUAGCUUGCUAAGUUGUAAUCUAGUGGCGGACGGGUGAGUAACGCGUGGGUAACCUGCCUUAUCCAGGGGGAUAACAGUUAGAAAUGACUGCUAAUACCGCAUAAGCGCACAGUUUCGCAUGAAACAGUGUGAGAAGAUUUAUCGGGAUAAGAUGGACCCGCGUCUGAUUAGCUAGUUGGUGAGGUAACGGCCCACCAAGGCGACGAUCAGUAGCCGGCCUGAGAGGGUGAACGGCCACAUUGGGACUGAGACACGGCCCAAACUCCUACGGGAGGCAGCAGUGGGGAAUAUUGCACAAUGGGGGAAACCCUGAUGCCAGCGACGCCGCGUGAGUGAAGAAGUAUUUCGGUAUGUAAAGCUCUAUCAGCAGGGAAGAAAAUGACGGUACCUGACUAAGAAGCCCCGGCUAACUACGUGCCAGCAGCGGC